AUUAUGCAAUACUCUGUCUCAUGACAUAUAUGGUCCUCACAGCUAAUUUGGAAAAUAUAAUAAUUAUUUAGCGACUGAAUUGGAAAUUUUGUAAUGAAAAAGAUUAUAAAUGGAUUUCAGUACCAUAUUUUAUGUACAUGUACAUGUACAAACCUCGUUAAAGCUAAAAUUAAAAAGGUCUCACUGCAUCAUGAUCAAACACAACACAUCACAAGUAAAGUUAAAAUAACCAGCUUGGAUGAUUUACAUGUGAUUCUUAACAGACAUUAAAUCCCAUGCUUCACUCAUGUGAUGUUGUAUGUGACAGUUAUGAAUCAAAUGAACAAUAUAUAUUGUGACUCUAGCUUGAUUUUACAUGUACAGUGAACUAUAAAAUUGCUACAGUGUUCUUCACUGCAUGUAACUAUCAGUACUUCUUAUCAGCACCUCAGAUAGUACAGCUGUGGAUUCACAGCCAUAGCCAGUACGAGGCCAACCAUUUGCAUUUUUAUUGUUUUUCUUUUUGAAGGAGGAAAGUGAAACACUGCUAAAAACCUAAAGGAAAAGAACUUAACCACAGACAUUGCCUUAGUCAUUACUUUUUUCCGGCUACAGCCCUGGGAUCAAUAAAAUGAGAUACAGCUCCUACUGAUACAAGUAUGUACAAUAACCAUCCAUCGCAAUUUGUGAAUUAUUACUAACAGUGUACCAAUUCCAAUGUCAGCGAUAAAAUCAAUGUCCUUGACAACGUUCACUGUUGCCUUUAACUUUUGUAAGAAAACUUAACAAUAAGAAUUAAGCACCAACUCAACUGCACUAGGUGGUGGUGAAUUCUUUAGUUCAGCGCAAUUGGGGCUUAGCCUGGGUUCUUACAUGGGGUUGUGCUCGGUUCUUUCCAUAACAAACUGAGUCAAAUUGGCACUUUAUCAGGAACACAGCUUUUUUUCUUUACAAAGCAUGUGGGCAAAAUGCUGAAAAAGAUAUCCUCCCAAGAACUCAAUGUGUGCUAUACUUUGACCAAAUAUCCUCACACAUGUGAUUCAGUCACAUGAAUGACUGUAUACAUUCUAGAUAUGGUUGAACGAUAGCUGAUAGUACCAGCUGAGGUUGAAGGAAACCAUCACUGAUUUAUUUUGCAAUCUGUCAGGGGAAACGCAAGUGCGGCUGACCAAGAAACAACCAGAGGAGAUCAUGUGUGCAUGGGUGGCAUCUUCUAGGCUUAAAACCGGACAAGCACUGCCUGACUCACUCAUGACCCCAGCGGCUGGUGUAAAACCAUUAAUGUCCUAUGCUCCCAAGAUAACGACGGGGAUAAGGAUAUACAUGUAGCAGAUUAAUACUUCUGCAAGUCUUCUUUGCAGUUAUAUGCACUCUGCACCAGUGUCACAGAUGUCUUUAGUUUGAAUUACACUUUAGCCUCAGAUUUUCUUUCAUUAUUGAAUUUUAACACAAUAUUUGUUUCAUUUUCAUUUAGUUUCUGUCACUUAUAUCUUGAGGAAUUUCUGAUUCAUAUUGGCAAGACUGAACUUCAUAAUGUGGUCAUUAGUUUCAUAAAAACGUGAUUUGUAAAAAUGGUUUUCAGAUAAGACAUUGACUGAGCUUUUGUUUGGGCAAAAAAGGCAAUAAAGACAAGGUAGUCAUA
rnacentral:lncRNA from 1 species